GACGAACGCUGGCGGCGUGCUUAACACAUGCAAGUCGAACGGAAAGGCCUGCUUUCCCUUGUGGAUUGCGGGUACUCGAGUGGCGAACGGGUGAGUAACACGUGAGUGAUCUGCCCCCAACUUGGGUAUAAGCCUGGGAAACUGGGUCUAAUUCCCGAUAGGACUGCAGGGUGGUGCCUGUGGUGGAACACGAUUUUCUAGUGGUUGGGGAUGAGCUCGCGGCCUAUCAGCUUGUUGGUGGGGUAAUGGCCUACCAAGGCGGCGACGGGUAGCCGGCCUGAGAGGGUGGACGGCCACAUUGGGACUGAGAUACGGCCCAGACUCCUACGGGAGGCAGCAGUGGGGAAUAUUGCACAAUGGGCGGAAGCCUGAUGCAGCGACGCCGCGUGGGGGAUGACGGCCUUCGGGUUGUAAACUCCUUUCGACCGCGAGGAAGCCACAUGGUUGGAAGGGUGGUGACGGUAGUGGUAGAAGAAGCACCGGCUAACUACGUG
rnacentral:rRNA from 1 species